ensembl:lincRNA
GGACAAUGGCUGCAGGCCAAAACACACACAUUCCAGUGUUUACGACCGUAAGGUCCUGUCUUUGGGUGGCGUUUGUGAGGAAUCCUCUCAUCAGUCCAAUUGGCCUCCAGCAAGCCAGGAGGAACACUCCGUGCUCUCAAUGCCCGAUUCGCAGUUCUGCUACAUUGUUCAUGAACCCAGUGAAAGAUGUUCACAGUGAACUCACCACCAUGUAUGGAGCUCCAUCCUUCAAAAUGGCUGAGUACAGAAUUGGGAAAGUGUCGUGGAGAAGCUGACUCAGAGGCCUGACCCCACUGACCCUACCAACCCAGCCAACCCAGGUACCACCUGCCUCCAGAACUCCUAUGUGCCAGAAUUCUAUUGUUUAAACCACUUUCCAAUGGCUAUUCUGUUACUUGCAGCUGAAAGAAUCCUCAUUAAGUCACCAGAAAUAUGAAAAUCUUCUAAUCUGAAAGUAUGCAGAUAGGUAGAGAAAAGAAAGAACAUGGACUUGAGACUUGGACCUAGAGGUACAUCUUGGCUCCCUCACUUAGAAGUCCAAUUUCAUCUACUGAUCUGUCUCCAACCUGGACUGUAGCCACUCGAAGGCAGGGAGCAUGUCUAGCUGUUUCUGUUUGGAGAGGGAGUAUAUCAGAGUCUGUUACAAACAUAAACAUCUUGACCAGAAUUCAGACUCUGGCACUUACUAGUCAUGCAGCCUUGAGCAAGUCAUUUAAUCUAACUAAAAAUAAAACAAAAAAAUAUUAAAUAAGGAAAACAGUACCUACUUUAUGGACUUGUUUUAAGAUGGACUCAGGUAAUCCACACAGUAAACUCCUUACCAUAGUGCCUACCAGGCAAAGAAUAAAACAGAAUUUUCACGGCACUACAUUCUUGUGGUGAAAGGUGGAGGUAAGAACAGAAAUGAAUAAAAAUACGUGAAGUCGUGAUAAAAGCAACGAAGACAAGUAAAACAAAGGACAAAGAGAAAACGAAAGGGGAACUAUGUUCAAGUGCCUCUUUGACAGGGGGCCUUUGGGCAGAGAUCUUAGUGAAGUGAGUGAAGCACGUCAAUAUCUGAGGAAAGAGUAUUUUGGGCAAAGGUGAAAGCAAGAGGAAGGCCCUGAGCAGAAGGCGUGCUUAGCAUAUUUGCAGAGUAGUGAGGAGGCCAGCUUGGCUGGACUAACAAAGGGGAAGAAAAAGUUACAUUUAUUCUGGUUUUAAAUUUUCAUUCUAACUGCCAGUUGAAAAAUAAAUUGGGGCUCAGGGCAAGUGGCAGCAUAAAGACCAGGUAGGAGGUUAAUGAAGUCAUCAGGCCAGAGAUAACCAAAGAACCUGAGCAUCUUGUUAUAUGCAAAUGUGUAAGUUAUGGGGAAAAAAAUGCACCCACCUAUUCACCCCCACACACACCCAUGCUCAAAUGUUCAGGUCCCCCUUCAACACUCAUUUGGGAAGACUGACAGCUGGAGGGAACUGUUUUCUUCAGAAGGGAGUUGUCUGGUUAGGUGUUUAACCAGAGAUAUAAUGCUGUAAAGAUGGUAAGAAGUAGGUUCCAGAUAUAUAUUUUAAGGUAGUGGCAAUAUUUGCUGAUGAUUAGAUAUGGGAAAGAAAGAAAAAAAGGAAGGAAGGAAGGGAGGGAGGG